GUCUAUGGCCAUACCACCCUGAACAUGCCCAAUCUCAUCUGAUCUCAGAUCUAAGCAGAGUCAGGCCUAGUUAAUACUUGGACAGGAGAAAUUCCUACCAUACGACA
ensembl:rRNA 5S_rRNA 5S ribosomal RNA